rnacentral:rRNA from 1 species
UAAGGAAUAUUGGUCAAUGGACGCAAGUCUGACGGAGCGACGCCGCGUGAGCGAAGAAGGUCUUCGGAUCGUAAAGCUCUGUUGUUAGGGAAGAAGAAGCGCCGUUCGAACAGGGCGGCGCGGUGACGGUACCUAACGAGAAAGCCCCGGCUAACUACGUGCCAGCAGCCGCGGUAAUACGUAGGGGGCGAGCGUUGUCCGGAAUUAUUGGGCGUAAAGCGCGCGUAGGCGGCUUUGCAAGUCGGGUGUGAAAUCCCCGGGCUUAACCUGGGAACUGCAUUCGAGACUGCAUUGCUAGAGUAUGGGAGAGGGAAGUGGAAUUUCCGGUGUAGCGGUGAAAUGCGUAGAUAUCGGAAGGAACAUCAGUGGCGAAAGCGACUUCCUGGACCAAUGCUGACGCUCAUGUGCGAAAGCGUGGGGAGCAAACAGGAUAGAUACC